rnacentral:rRNA from 1 species
AUGGUGACUACAAAGAAGCAUCUUCCUUAUCCUUUAGUAUACCAACUUAUAAAGCUAGCACUUACUUUGCCUGUUGCCACUUCAACCGUUGAGAGGUGCUUCUCAGCUAUGAAGAUUAUGAAGAAUACUCUACGUAGCAAAAUUAGUGGUGAUUUAUGA